UGUUUGGAAUAUUCUGAACACUUUUCCAGAAGGCCACGAACCCAUCUGAGGUCAUCUUGGGCUCCAAAAACGCAAUUUAAGCCCAAAAACGUCAUUUUCCAGCACUGUGCACUGCUUCUUUAUUUCAUCGUCAGAAAAUAACCGCUUGGUGGAAAAAUCCCAAAUUUUGAUACGAUCAAGCUAAGUGACUCACGAACGUCCUCCAACUGGAAUUACUCCAAAAUUCAUCCAUUUGGUCCUGUUUUGCUCCAGAGGAAGUUGAAAGUCCUAUAUUAAAAAUACAAUUCAAAGUAUCAAAAUUCUUCCAAAAUAUUAACCAAAAUAUACUAAGAUUAGGGUAAAAUAUAUAAUAUAAAAUCUACUCAUCAAAUACCCCCAAACUUAGCUUUUUGCUUGUCCUCAAGCAAAAUAAGACUCAACCAAAAAUAAAAACUUAACAAACUAGACAACUAGCUAAAUUUAACUGACAAAAAUUUUCACCUUCAAAGUUGCAAUCCAUAGCAAAUUUCAAAAACUAGAACAUCUUUUCAAAAGUUCCAACUAAUCCCACCACAGAGUCUAAGCCAUUUAGAAUCAAUUAGAAAAGAAUUCACAAA
rnacentral:lncRNA from 1 species